CCGUAGAUGGUUAAACUGUAUACAAUAUAGGAUGAUGUGUUCGGUUGUGAACGGUUCUUCGCAGAGCUCGCAGUAUAUUGAGUUACGAACUCUCAUUAUACCAAGCCAAUAGGUUUGCUGUUCCAGUACCAUGGUUUUCGGUUAAAAGCUGCUUGAAAGCGGUAGAAUUUCGAACCUUUCUGUGAUUGUCUUAUCACUGAUCCGUGAUUUAUUCACUAGUAUGCAUGGGCUCGACAGCCCUUGUUUAGCCGCAGUGUCUGCUUUUUCAUUACCCACGAUUUGUAUAUGCGCAGGAAUCCAUUGUAUGGUUGCUUUUUUCGAUUCGGCUAGUUUUAUUAUUUGGAAGGUAAGUUCAUCGAAUUCGUUUGUUUCUAAUUGCUGAUUUAGGAUUCUACAUGAUGCUUGGGAAUCUGUAAGAAUUAAUGUCCUGUUUGCUAUAAUUGUGUUUACGUUUUCCAGUGCGGUUUUGAUAGCAAUCAUUUCAGCUGUGGUUAUAGAGACUUCGUUAUCCAAUUGCAUACUAGUUUCUUUACUGUCAUCUUCUUCGAAUAUUCCUAUUCCGCAUUUGUUUUCGUGUUUUGAUGCGUCCGUGUAUAUUUGUGUGUAUGUUGGGUAUUGAGUGUUUAGCAUGUGUAUAACUUCUUUCCUCAUCACUUCCGCUGACUGUUGUUUUUUCCUUAUUUGUGUUUGUGGUAUCUGGUCCAAGAUUAAAACA